AAGCUGAGGCCUGAGACUUUUAGCAGGGCCAUCUUAUGCCUCUUGAAUUGCCUGAUCUGCUUGCACUGCCUCUUGAGGAUGGAGAUCUGAAUGAAGCUGCUUGCAUUCAGAUUGCAAUCCACCCUCCUUUAAAACUCCUUUUUGAGAGGAGCACGCGUUAAAUAUUUUUAGGGCCAGCACUGUGAGGUUGGCUCAGCUUCCAGAAACACUUUCCAAAGCUUGUUGUCCAGAAUAGUGUGCUCUAAAAAUGCACUGCGUUCCCCCUGCACAAGUUGGUCCGACCUACUGUGACAGUACAACAGGGUUUUUCUUUCAGCUCAGAUGAGAUGCAUAUUCAGAUCUGUACUAGUUGCACAGUGAAACAGCUUUCUUUUCUUCCCUGUUCCCUGUUUUGCACCUCCAGUGCCUGUCUCUGUGCUAGAUGAGAGCCUGUGGGGAGUUCAGGGAGUGCAGGUCUGGGCCGUGUAUCACCCUGUCACCGGGACCAAGCUGGGAGAGCUGCUGGUCCUUGAACUCCUCCCACUGUGGCUGCACCACUGGAGCAACAGCUGGCGUGCUGAGGUGCACCGCAGGGCUGCCAGCUCUCCCCACUGCAGAUCAAGCUUUGCACUCUGUUGCUGGGGGGUUUCCUUGAAGCCCUUGUGCCUCUCUGCCAGAGUGCUCGGACUGUGUGAGAAUUGGGCCUUUUGAUGGA
rnacentral:lncRNA from 12 species